UAUUCAGCGCGUCCGUCUGCGGACGCGUGGGGUUUCUGUGAGGAAAACCCCCAGCCGGCGCGGCCGCGGAGCCUGGCGGUAGAAGCGGCCGUCCGUGGCAGUGUCAGAGAGGCCACGCGGGCCGUCUGCGGGCAGGAGCGACGGCUGGAAGGGCCCUUCCAUUGCCCAGGCGCAAAACCAGCUCCUGCCCCGAGAGAUUAGGGCUGCCCUGAGGUGUGUUAUCCGUGGGUGAUGGGGUCCGGGCUGUGAUUCCAGCCCUGGGCACGAAGGUGGUCGGGAAAGUGAACGGUUCAGCGCUCCCCGUGAGGGGGAGAAGAAACAGCCAUCAUUCUUCAUGGUUCUUCAUUGCAGGAAUUGCAUGUGUGAAAGCAGGUGACAAUGACAGUGAUGCCAAAAUCACCAUCUGCCACCUGGCAUCAAGGGCUACUGGGAGCUUUUGCUGUUCAUAGAGUCCCAGAGAGCUGGUGCCAUGCAGAGAGAGCACACUGAAGGGUCAAGAGGGUGUCAGGGUCACCUGGAAUGAUCUCAGCAUUUCCAUACAAGCAGUAAAGGGCUGCUCUUCCCGGUGUCAUACUUGCUUUCUGGCCCAACAGAUUACCAUGAAACUGAGAGAACACGGACCUGCAUUUUGCAACAGACCCCUUGGUACAGCAGUGCUGAAUGUUGACUGAUACUUUGGACAAGUGCCUGCCUGAAAAACACAAGCUCCUGCAGUAGGUGAUGGCUGAACUGAUCAGGAAGGAAUAGUGCAGAAGAACUGCUGAGUGGGAGAGGCACUGGAUGCGUCCGCUGGCACAAUGGCAGGCAACAUGGUCCACCCCCUCCGCAGUGACGCUGCUUGCAGACUCCCUUUACCCAAAUCUGUAAGCACCACCUUCUGAAUGCCUUCAGCUUCUUUUUGGGCUCAAGCUCUAACAGCAGCACCAAACCUCACCCUUGCUGACUGUGGACCUUGAAAAAGAAAAAAAAAAAAAAAAAAAGGACAAUGUCUGAUGUU